GCACUACUUAUGCGAGUUAGAAAUCUACACGUAGCUCUCUCCGUAUGGUUCAUACGUCGUCCGUUGUUUGCUUCUAAUUUGGAGACAGUUCCUCGAUAAUCAUGGUGUGUUGUCCCUGCUUUCUCGUUCCUCUUAUUUUGUGGAUAUUUUACCGGUUUAUUCAACCCUUUGUCAACCCACUUUUGCCCGAAAGAGUCAAAUCCUGGUUCAAUUUCGGAGUGACGAAAGGCUCCGCCGUAGCGGGCGAAGGCUGCUGUGAAGCUGAGGCUGUGCAAUCACAGAAUCAACAUGGAACAGGAAAGGAAAAUGAGCGUACCGGUAAUCAAGAAUCCACAAUGAAAACUGGUUGCCCUUUCAAACCUAUUAGUGUUCAAGCAACAACGGUCGGAGGUGAUAAAAAGACUGACUAGUCCUUACUCCCAGGUCCUCUCUCUUAAGCUGAUAUCAAAGGACAAUUUUGUUGAAUCGUGAUUCGUGAUCAACAUGUGAAUUCCAAGAAGAAUGAGACCAUUAAGACAGCAAGAACUCAGACAUGGAUGAGCUGUUCUGGACUUGGACUUAAACCUUUGUAUUUGGAUGCAUGUUAUGUCUUCUUCUAGGUUAGAUGGUCUUGGUGGGUCAGCAUCACACUUGCACUUCACUGGUUCACAUCUCCAAUACCUAUCCCACCUUUUUUUUAAAGUUGUGGACACUGGGUGCAUUCACUAAACCACCAGCAUAAUGUUAUAAAAGAUAUAUUAUUGGUGCCUUUGAACCUACAUAGUCAUAAACAUACUACCGGACUAGUACCGGUAAGUAACUUGAUCAGUCAUUAUCACAUUUUCACACCCCAAAUCAACAUCCAUUUUCCCUCUUUUUUUUUUAUUGUUUAUUUAUGAAGAGCCCCACACAAAUCUUGAAAAGGGGGUAAAUUAAUUACUUGGAGGGGAUGUCUGUACAAGUAUGCACAGGCUCCAUUUUUCCUUCAAAAAGAAAACUGGAUAUCUGGGAUUU